rnacentral:rRNA from 1 species
UACGAAGGGGGCUAGCGUUGCUCGGAAUCACUGGGCGUAAAGCGCACGUAGGCGGAUCGUUAAGUCAGGGGUGAAAUCCUGGAGCUCAACUCCAGAACUGCCUUUGAUACUGGCGACCUUGAGUUCGGGAGAGGUGAGUGGAACUGCGAGUGUAGAGGUGAAAUUCGUAGAUAUUCGCAAGAACACCAGUGGCGAAGGCGGCUCACUGGCCCGAUACUGACACUCAGGUGCGACAGCGUGGGGAGCAAACAGG